rnacentral:antisense_RNA from 1 species
UAAUAAAGAAAAAAAUGAGGAAAUGCUGUGAAGAAUAGAACAUUUCAGAAGCAGAACAAUUCGAGAGCAGUGAUGACCCUUUUGUUCCUACUAGUACCUCCUGACUGUCUGGCCGAACUCACCAUCAGAUGAUGUCUUGAACCUCACCUAGACGGGCUGGUGGUGUGUGGCCAGGUUAAGAGCACCACGAGGAGUAAGAAAGUGACGUGCCUGGUUUUACCAUGUCCACUAGGGGAGGAGUUGAAAGCUUUCUGUUGAUACAUCACCUCUGGGAGUUGAAGAAGAAUGCAAUUAAAAGAGCUAAAGAAGUCA